CGUCUGUACAACACAACUUAUUGAGCCACAGCAAUAGACUUUGGGCAUCACUAGCUACAUUAACUAAGAACACGGACAGCUCACCACCUUGCAGAAUAAAUACAAAAGCAUAUACAGUUACCUCAUACAUUGUUAAGAUAAGCAUUGAGCUCCAUCUUUUAUGACAGGAAGUAGAUAAUGUCAGAAUCAAGCAACGAAAGGAACCCAUCGACACCCAUCACCUGCUCAUUUCCCAUCUCAAGUAAUGGGAAGAAACUGUCUUUUUUCCUAAAGAAGGGCAUGCUUCCUAUAACUCUCAUAGAACUCUAUGUUUUGCUCCAAAUGUACUUGUAGUUAGCAUAUUUCCAUUUUAACAAGUAAAAGAACAGUUCCUCACAUGUCAGGUGCCCACUGAGAUGUUGAUAAUUUCAUAGAAGACGUUGAGCAAUACACCAUCAACUUACAAUAUUCAGCAACACUUCACAAUAAGAAUGGUAGUCAUUAAACAUAAAUCUAUAAUCCUGAAGGUCCUCAAGGAUGUCAAGCCGUGAUGCCAUCUGAACAUAAAAUAUCACACGCAUGCCAAAAUGUAGACAACCAAAAGGUUCAACUGCAUGGUAAAAGUGAAGCCAAAAGCACCUGGUGUACAAAUUGCCAACACAAUCCUCAACUGCAGCAGCAACUUCAAUUUGGCACAUUCAACUAACUUAAUUGCACUCCUUACUGGAUUCUUGGCUAGGAUGCGAUUCCAAAACAGAAUAUAAUUGUAAACAACAAGCAAACUAGACAUUCUUUCCAGUAAAGUUGAGGGAACACCAAAAUAUAUGCAAACAAGUAUGGGUUGUGUACAGAUAAACUUGAAGUAUUUGUAUUUCCAAUCCGCAUGACAACUUUCAGAGUCCCAAUCUUUCUUACAAUAAUCCUUACAGUUUCUUUUAUGUUAACAAAAUUAACAUAAAUAGUAUUAAUAUAAACGGGAUCACCUGC
rnacentral:lncRNA from 1 species